rnacentral:rRNA from 1 species
CCCUUAGAUGUUCUGGGCCGCACGAGCGCUACACUGACGAAUGCAACGAGCUUAUAACCUUGGCCGAAAGGUCUGGGUAAUCUCCAAAUUUCGUCGUGAUGGGGAUAGAUUAUUGCAAUUAUUAAUCUUCAACGAGGAAUGCCUAGUAAGCGCAAGUCAUCAGCUUGCGUUGAUUACGUCCCUGCCCUUUGUACACACCGCCCGUCGCUCCUACCGAUUGAAUGGUCCGGUGAAGCGUUCGGACCGUGGCCUUUGGACGGUUCGCCGUCUGUUGGCUGCGGGAAGUUCGUUAAACCUUAUCAUUUAGAGGAAGGAGAAGUCGUANCA